GCCCUCGUCGUUCAACGGACAGGACACGGGAUUGCGGAUCCCGUAAUAGAGGUUCGAUUCCUCUCGAGGGCACCA
rnacentral:tRNA from 1 species